rnacentral:rRNA from 1 species
GAUGAACGCUGGCGGCGUGCCUAAUACAUGCAAGUCGAGCGAACAGACGAGGAGCUUGCUCCUCUGACGUUAGCGGCGGACGGGUGAGUAACACGUGGAUAACCUACCUAUAAGACUGGGAUAACUUCGGGAAACCGGAGCUAAUACCGGAUAAUAUAUUGAACCGCAUGGUUCAAUAGUGAAAGACGGUUUUGCUGUCACUUAUAGAUGGAUCCGCGCCGCAUUAGCUAGUUGGUAAGGUAACGGCUUACCAAGGCGACGAUGCGUAGCCGACCUGAGAGGGUGAUCGGCCACACUGGAACUGAGACACGGUCCAGACUCCUACGGGAGGCAGCAGUAGGGAAUCUUCCGCAAUGGGCGAAAGCCUGACGGAGCAACGCCGCGUGAGUGAUGAAGGUCUUCGGAUCGAAAAACUCUGUUAUUAGGGAAGAACAAAUGUGUAAGUAACUAUGCACGUCUUGACGGUACCUAAUCAGAAAGCCACGGCUAACUACGUG